UUCAUCUGUUCAAACAAUUACACAUAUACAUGUAGUGGUAUGAGGCACCACUGUCAUACUGAACACCAAGCUUCUGCUUCACCUUGCCCUCUUUGGCUUAUUAGCCAAUCAUCGUUCAUGCCGAGGGGAUAAAAGUAGGCGUGUCCCUCUUCCUGCCCCUUCAGCCCGCCCAUUUCCGGGUUGUUGCCUUCGCUGCACAGGUAGGCGCACCUUAGUGUGCUCUUGGUGUAUAUUUGUUAGAUUGUUUGUUAACUUAAACAUAACUCUUUAAUAGAUCCGGCAUCUCCAAAGCGGUCGGGGCGUUAUAUUGUAGUCGUUAUCACCGCUGACCGCAGCAUAGUCUGCUGGUCGCAUGGUUCGUGGUGGCUUUCCCCCCUGCCACGCCGACCCUCUUCACCCCUCUCCCUCUUUGCUACGGACGCAAGCCAACCGGACUGGAAACCGGGUGAUUGGACGCUAAAGUGAACUCUUACGGUGUGUUCAUACUGUGUUUGUAAUUGAAUACGGUCCACGGAAUAAAACCCAUGUGAACCAUCAGUUUGAGAGUUCGACCAUCAUUUAGCCGGGGACGCUACAAUGACCAUUAUUACGUUUGGAGGAAAAAGGGAGAACUUGCAAGCCUGAGAAUACCAUCCCAACUGUGAAAUACGGGGGUGGCAGCAUCAUGUUGUGGAGUUGUUUUGCUUCUGGAGGGACUGGUGCACUUCACACAAUAGAUGGCAUCAUGAAGAAAGAACAUUAUGUGGAAAUAAUGAAGCAACAUCUCAAAAUAUCAGCCAGGAAGUUAAAGCGUGGGUCUUCCAAAUGUACAAUGACCUGAAGCAUACUGCCAAAUAAGUUACAAAGUGGCUUAUGGACAACAAAGUCAAUGUUUUGCAGUGACCGUCACAAAGCCCUGAUCUCAAUCCUAUUGAAAAUGUAUGGGCAGAGCUGAAAAGGCAUGUGCGAGCAAGACGACAAAAUUGGCUCAGUUACACCAGUCCUGUCAGGAGGAAUGGGCCAAAAUUCCUGCCAAUUAUUGUGAGAAGCUUGUGGAAGGAUAUCCAAAAGGUUUGAUAGAAGUCAUACAGUUUAAAGGCAAUGGUACCAAAUACUAAUGAAAUGUAUGUAAACUUCUGACUGUCAAGAAACUAAUAAAAACAUUGUCUAAAAAAAAAUUUCAUUAUUCUGGCAUUUAGCAAAUACAAUUUUUUGUAAUCCUAAUUCACCUGAUGACCAAUGAAGAAAUGUUGGUUUUGAAUCUCCAGCUUUAUUUACAGCACUGUAGGCUACAUCCUUGUUUUUUGUUUGUGUUUACGGCACUAUGGAAGUUAUUUUAUGUG